rnacentral:tRNA from 1 species
GGGGGUGGCAGGUUUGCAUUGGUUGACAGCGAAUCAACCGAUACGGGUUCGAUUCCCGACACCUCCACCA